GCUGCGUAGCUCACUUAAAGCAUAACGCUGAAAACGUUAAGAAGAACCCUAGAAAGUUCCGCAAGCA
rnacentral:tRNA from 1 species